rnacentral:misc_RNA from 1 species
GAUGAAGAACGUAGCGAAAUGCGAUAAGUAAUGCGAAUUGCAGAAUUCAGUGAAUCAUCGAAUCUUUGAACGCACAUUGCGCCCGCCAGUAUUCUGGCGGGCAUGCCUGUCUGAGCGUCGUUUCGACCCUCGCGCCCGGCUUCUGUCGGGGGCGGUGUUGGGGAUCGGCCACACCCUUCAGUGGGAGGCCGGCCCCUAAAUUCAGUGGCGACCACGCUGUAGCCUCCCCUGCGUAGUACUAAAACCACCUCCCAGGCGGAGAGCGGUGCGGCCCGCCGUAAAACCCCCCAACUUUUACAAGGUCGACCUCAGAUCAGGUAGGAAUACCCGCUGAACUUAAGCAUAUCAAUAAGCGGAGGA